UACAGAGGUCUCAAGCGUUUGUUCGGAAUUACUGGGCGUAAAGGGUGCGCAGGCCGCGCGGACAGUCAAAUGUGAAAUUCAGGGGCUCAACCCCUGCAUUGCGCUUGAUACUUCCGCGCUCGAGCCUUGGAAAGGAGUCUGGAAUUCUCGGUGUAGCAGUGAAAUGCGUAGAUAUCGAGAGGAACACUAAGGGCGAAGGCAAGACUCUGGGACAAAGUGCUGACGCUCAUGCACGAAAGGCUAGGGGUAGCGAAACGGGG
rnacentral:rRNA from 1 species